ACAGAGGGUGCAAGCGUUGUUCGGAAUUAUUGGGCGUAAAGGGCGCGUAGGCGGCCUCGUAAGUCAGCUGUGAAAUCCCCGGGCUCAACCCGGGAACUGCAACUGAUACUGCGAAGCUUGAAUCCCGGAGAGGGUGGUGGAAUUCCCAGUGUAGAGGUGAAAUUCGUAGAUAUUGGGAGGAACACCGGUGGCGAAGGCGACCACCUGGACGGAGAUUGACGCUGAGGCGCGAAAGCGUGGGGAGCAAACAGGA
rnacentral:rRNA from 1 species